rnacentral:misc_RNA from 1 species
CCGAGUUUACAACUCCCAGACCCCUGUGAACAUACCUUUAUGUUGCCUCGGCGGAUCAGCCCGCGCCCCGUAAAACGGGACGGCCCGCCGCAGGAAACCCUAAACUCUGUUUUUAGUGGAACUUCUGAGUAUAAAAAACAAAUAAAUCA